UACGAAGGGGGGCUAGCGUUGUUCGGAAUUACUGGGCGUAAAAGCGCACGUAGGCGGAUACUUAAGUCAGGGGUGAAAUCCCGGGGCUCAACCCCGGAACUGCCCUUGAAACUGGAGAGCUAGAAUCUUGGAGAGGCGAGUGGAAUUCCGAGUGUAGAGGUGAAAUUCGUAGAUAUUCGGAAGAACACCAGUGGCGAAGGCGACUCGCUGGACAAGUAUUGACGCUGAGGUGCGAAAGCGUGGGGAGCAAACAGGAUUAAGAA
rnacentral:rRNA from 1 species